rnacentral:rRNA from 1 species
GACGUAGGGGCGCGAGCGUUGUCCGGAUUUAUUGGGCGUAAAGAGCUCGUAGGCGGCUUGUUGCGUCGAGCUGUGAAAAACCCGCAGCUCAACUGUGGGCUUGCAGCUGAUACGGGCAGGCUUGAGUUCGGUAGGGGAGACUGGAAUUCCUGGUGUAGCGGUGAAAUGACGUAGAUAUCGAGAGGAACACCCUGCGGCGAAGGCGGGUUGCUGGGCUGAUACGUGACGCUGAGGCGCGAAAGCCAGGGGAGCGAACGGG